rnacentral:rRNA from 1 species
UGAGGAUUAUUGGUCAAUGGACGAGAGUCUGAACCAGCCAAGUAGCGUGCAGGAUGACGGCCCUAUGGGUUGUAAAUUGCUUUUGUUUGGGAAUAAUCGACAUUACGUGUAAUGUUUUGCAUGUACCAUUCGAAUAAGGACCGGCUAAUCCCGUGCCAGCAGCCGCGGUAAUACGGAAGGUCCAGGCGUUAUCCGGAUUUAUUGGGUUUAAAGGGAGUGUAGGCGGUUGGUUAAGCGUGUUGUGAAAUGUAGAUGCUCAACAUCUGACUUGCAGCGCGAACUGGCUGACUUGAGUACACACGACGUAGGCGGAAGUCAUGGUGUAGCGGUGAAAUACUUAGGUAUCAUGAAGAACUCCGAUUGCGAAGGCAGCUUACGGGAGUGUUACUGACGCUUAAGCUCGAAGGUGCGGGUAUCGAACAGG